GACGAACGCUGGCGGCGUGCUUAACACAUGCAAGUCGAACGGUGAAGGGACCAGCUUGCUGGUUCUGGAUGAGUGGCGAACGGGUGAGUAACACGUGGGUAACCUGCCCCCUUCUUCUGGAUAACCGCAUGAAAGUGUGGCUAAUACGGGAUAUUCUGGGUCUGUCGCAUGGCGGGCCCGGGAAAGAUAUUGCUUCGGUGGGGGAUGGGCUCGCGGCCUAUCAGCUUGUUGGUGGGGUGAUGGCCUACCAAGGCGGUGACGGGUAGCCGGCCUGAGAGGGUGGACGGUCACACUGGGACUGAGACACGGCCCAGACUCCUACGGGAGGCAGCAGUGGGGAAUAUUGCACAAUGGGCGCAAGCCUGAUGCAGCGACGCCGCGUGAGGGAUGGAGGCCUUCGGGUUGUAAACCUCUUUCGCCAGUGAAGCAGGCCUGCUCCUUGUGGGUGGGUUGACGGUAGCUGGAUAAGAAGCGCCGGCUAACUACGUG
rnacentral:rRNA from 1 species